rnacentral:tRNA from 1 species
GCCCGGGUGGCUCAGUCGGUUAAGCGUCCGACUUCAGUUUGGGUCAUGAUCUCACUGUUGGUGGGUUCGAGCCCUACAUCGGGCU